ensembl:lncRNA
CGAAAUGACGUCAUAUCAGUUUGUUCUACGAUUUCGUUUGAAGUAUAUCGGGACCUUUAUACUCUUGGUUAUGCAUGAUAUUAUGCAAACAUUAAGUUAAAGGGGGGGGGGAAAAGGCUGAAACUAGUUUCCAGGAACCUGCCACGUGAAUCUCAGACAGUCCUCCUCCUCAUUUUAAAAACGCCCCGCACGCGUGUCUGCGUUCACUCGCGCGCUCUCAUCAUCAGCGGUCAUCAAUACUAUCAGCGAUGGUUGUGCUCUCUUCCAUGUGCAUUUACUGAUACUCUCAUCACUCAUGAAUAUUUCUGAGAGCAGUGUGCUCGGCACCGUGCUGCCUCUUACUAGUUUCGAGAACGUGCUCGUGUUUCUCUUUAAUAUAAUUCUCGCCACCGCCAUCAUUUUUAUUAACGUCUCCGUGUUUAUCGCCAUCGUGAUGAACAGAUCACUGCGGAACGAGAACCGCUUCAUGUACAUGCUCAGCACGUGUCUCAGUGACAUCUGCACGGGCGUCUCGUAUUAUUAUGCUGGAGUUAUGGAUGUACGCGAUGAUUUUGAUUCGCCGACUCGCACUCUCUACAUCGUUCCCACUUUUCUGGGACUGUCCUAUAUGGCGAUUCUGGCCGCGCAAGCGGACCGCUACCACGCGGUCUCAGCGCCUUUCAAAUACUCGCAGCGCAUGACUCGAAACAGAACCCUGCUGGUGAUUCUGGCCUACUGGGUUUAUGCUUUUAUUUUAGUGGCUGUUUAUAAUUUGGUGACUACGGGGGUCGCUAAGGCUGUGACGGGCUUGGGUACUUUUGUGGCAAACAUUUUUAGUGUCAUUAUAAUGAUUGGCUUGAAUUUAAGGCUGUUUGUCAUCGCCAAAUUUCAGCUAGAACGCGAACCCCCGAGCGAGGAACGCGACAACAAGCGCGCGUCCAUUUAUCUCAUCAUAAUAGUAGCUGUGUGUUUUCUGAUUGCAUGGCUGCCGUGGUUUCUUCUUACGACUGUGUGUACAUUUAGAGGAGGUUCGUGUUAUCCGUUUAGAAAUGACGGCACAGACCCCCUGCGCAUUCUGGCGCGCGUCAAUGCGCUUAUCACUCCUUUACUGUACAUCAGAGGCUGUACUCCACUCAGGAGCACCAUAAUGAUUAAAGUCUGGAGAAUACCAUGCUGCAAGAGUAAAAGAUUGCAAGCUGUUACAAAAUCCAGAUCUACCAACAGGAGACAUACACUAUAGCAGGCCUUUGUUUGUAAAAGGCCCAAAAUCCUUUUUUUUUUUCAUCCAUCCAUCUUCCAAUCUGUUUUAUCUUCUUAAGGUUCAUGAAGGGCUGGAGCCCUGAACACACACAGACAUGCACACAAAUUCACACGCAAUUUUACAGUAUCCAAUUCACCUGUGCUGCAUGUCUUUGGAUUGUGGGGGAACCCGUGCAGACAAACAGAAAGGCAUCUCACUGCGACACCCAAGUGAAGCCACAGAAUAUGGAG